CUCAGGUGUGCCAUUGAAGUAUUGGCACAGUGCCAUUGUCAGUUCAGCAGCCACGUCGUCAAACACCUAUGGGAGUUGCAAGAAUAACUCCACGGACGACUUACCGUAACCCGGAAUGGAAUCACGUGUGUUCGUAUAAAUACCUUAGAAAUGCUGCCUUUCGGUAAAAGCUGCCGCAGAUUUUUCAUUUUGUGCAUUUUCUGAAAAAACAGUAUCCGAUCUCUCGAAAGGUGCAGCUGAUUUAUUAAUAAAGGCAGCACUUCUGUUGGCCAGAAUAGUAAAAGCUUCUGUUGACACUUUGCUUAAUUAGUAGUCCCUUAAGAAGAUGCAAGAAGCAUUUGUUAAUACACUGAGAUAAUUCAAGAAAAGAAUAAGAACAUUAACAUCUAUCAAUUUUGAAAAGAAGCUAUAAAUAAAUCUAGGUAAUAUAGACCCAUUGCAAUAUUUAUGCCAAUAAGAUAUUAACCAAACCACGUAACUGGCAGAAAAGUAAGAGACAGCUAAUGUGUGCUUUCAAUUAAGUAAUUUCGACACAUUUAAUUGAAGUGUGUGAAGUAGAUCCUGCAGGCGUGAGCUCAAACAUAAGCAAUAGAUGAAGAUCAUUCGUCGGACAGGAAGGAUACAGACCACAGUUUUUACCUCCUUGCAAGCCAGAUUGUGAAUGAUGGCAGAUCCGCGUGCCUGUAAGUCUGUUGAGCUUGAGAGCAACGCGUGUAUCGCCACUUUCGUUGUCACUCUGAUGUUGCUGAUGCUUUGGUUCUUGUGCUGCCAUAAUGAUAUGUACAGCAGCCACUCGGAGCUGCUGAGAUUCUCGAACAGGUUUGUUAACUGCAACGUAUAACAAUAUUCUUGUAUUUGAAGAUGUUAAUAUAAAUACAACUUCUUAUCGCUAA